GACGAACGCUGGCGGCGUGCUUAACACAUGCAAGUCGAACGGAAAGGCCCUGCUUUUGUGGGGUGCUCGAGUGGCGAACGGGUGAGUAACACGUGAGUAACCUGCCCUUGACUUUGGGAUAACUUCAGGAAACUGGGGCUAAUACCGGAUAGGAGCUCCUGCUGCAUGGUGGGGGUUGGAAAGUUUCGGCGGUUGGGGAUGGACUCGCGGCUUAUCAGCUUGUUGGUGGGGUAGUGGCUUAUCAAGGCUUUGACGGGUAGCCGGCCUGAGAGGGUGGCCGGCCACAUUGGGACUGAGAUACGGCCCAGACUCCUACGGGAGGCAGCAGUGGGGAAUAUUGCACAAUGGGCGGAAGCCUGAUGCAGCAACGCCGCGUGCGGGAUGACGGCCUUCGGGUUGUAAACCGCUUUCGCCUGUGACGAAGCGUGAGUGACGGUAAUGGGUAAAGAAGCACCGGCUAACUACGUG
rnacentral:rRNA from 1 species